rnacentral:lncRNA from 1 species
UGGUGACCGGGGGUGACCGGGGGUGACCGGGGAUGGCCGGGAAGAUGAAAGAGCACUGAAACUGUCCCAUUUCCUGGCACCUCAACCCUUCAUAAAUACGGGUCCAUAUACAGAGGCUCCAGUUUACACAAGACAAAAAUGGCGUGGAGAAUCCACAGAUUUAAGGGUUCAAUCCUACAAGACUGCCUCCUCUUGAGUUCCUCUGCCCGGCCGCCCCACUGUCUGGGAAGUGAGAAGCGCCUCUGCCUAGCCGCCCACCAUCUGGGAAGUGAGGAGCACCUCUGCCCGGCCGCCCCACACCACCGCCGCCAUCUGGGAAGUGAGGAGUGCCUCUGCCUGGCCCCCGCAACGUCUGGGAAGUGAGGAGCGCCUUUGCGCGGCUGCUGUGCGACCCUCCAAGUGUGAAGUGACAGCCUUGUGUGUGAUCUUUCUGCCCUCCCCAAGUUUGCAUUUUCGACAUUAAAGUUUACUUUUCAAUUAAAAUUUUUAAAUUGGAGAAUAUAUAAUUUAAAAAAAAAAAAAAAAGACUGCCUCCUCUUAAGAUGCCAGUCACAAGUCCUGGGCUACCAGUAUUUCUGACUAACUGGCUAUAAAUUAGAGGCUCC